rfam:Brassica oleracea var. oleracea cultivar TO1000 chromosome C3, whole genome shotgun sequence
GGAAUAUAAGAAACUGUCUCUUAACUUUUAACUAAAAAAUUAAGAACCGGCUCUUAAAUAAGAGUUUUAAAAACGAUUCUUAGUUUUUUUAGUUAAAAGUUAAGAGACGGAUUCUUAUAUUCC